rnacentral:rRNA from 1 species
GACGAACGCUGGCGGCGUGCUUAACACAUGCAAGUCGUACGGUAAGGCCCUUUCGGGGGUACACGAGUGGCGAACGGGUGAGUAACACGUGAGUAACCUGCCCACAACUUUGGGAUAACGCUAGGAAACUGGUGCUAAUACUGGAUAUGUGCUCCUGCUACAUGGUGGGGGUUGGAAAGCUCCGGCGGUUGUGGAUGGACUCGCGGCCUAUCAGCUUGUUGGUGGGGUAGUGGCCUACCAAGGCGGCGACGGGUAGCCGGCCUGAGAGGGUGACCGGCCACAUUGGGACUGAGAUACGGCCCAGACUCCUACGGGAGGCAGCAGUGGGGAAUAUUGCACAAUGGGCGCAAGCCUGAUGCAGCAACGCCGCGUGCGGGAUGACGGCCUUCGGGUUGUAAACCGCUUUCAGCAGGGACGAAGCUUUUUGUGACGGUACCUGCAGAAGAAGCACCGGCUAACUACGUG